CUCUCAACCACUGCGCCACCAGGGAAGCCUGGAAUUAGAAAUAUUUUAAGGUUCAUCCACGUCUCUGCAAAUGACCCAGUUUCGUUCAAAAGGGCCUCUGCCUGGGAGCAGACAUGCACUCAGGCCCCAGAGGGAUGAGCAACAACUGCUCCUGACUCGAUUCUUCAAAACCAUCAUCUCUGCAAUGGAACAGAUUUCCUUGUCAUUUAAUCCA